rfam:Picoides pubescens contig62334, whole genome shotgun sequence.
GCAUUAGUGGUUUAGUGGGAGAAUACUUGCCUGAUAUGUGGGAGGCCUGGGUUUGAUUCCCAGCUGGUGCA